GGAAUAAAAGGGAGAAGAGUUGGGUCGAUAUUGCUACCCAAUUACAGCUACCUGUGAAUGAGGUUAAAACCCGUGUGGCAUCACUCCGGACGCAAUACGGAAAAUUGAUGAAACCCAAGCCCAGCGGCAGUGCCCAGAAACCACUGACUCCAAAACAGAAGUGGAUACUGAAGCACUUAGAUUUUUUGAAGGGUCACAUCAUUCACAGACAUGCUGAAUCUACACUGAGACCUGGCACUGAGUCAGAGGACACUUUUGAGGGAGAGGAGGAUCCAUCCACUGUGGAAAGUUAAGCAGAUGUGUCUUCAGAUACCACCAGUCCAGUGUCAGUGCCAGAAGAGGAAAGCAGUGUGCCUGUGACAUGUCAGCCGGUGCAAAAACAAUGGGUCC